GAUGAACGCUAGCGGCAGGCUUAACACAUGCAAGUCGAGGGGCAGCGGGGGUAGCAAUACCUGCCGGCGACCGGCGGAUGGGUGAGUAACGCGUAUGCAAUCUACCUUAUACUGGAAAAUAACCCGGAGAAAUUCGGACUAAUGUUCCAUAGUUUAUUGUUUAGGCAUCUGAAUAAUAAUAAAGAUUUAUCGGUAUAAGAUGAGCAUGCGUAUCAUUAGGUUGUUGGUAAGGUAACGGCUUACCAAGCCUAUGAUGAUUAGGGGUUCUGAGAGGAUAAACCCCCACACGGGGACUGAGACACGGCCCAGACUCCUACGGGAGGCAGAAGUGAGGAAUAUUGGUCAAUGGACGAAAGUCUGAACCAGCCAUGCCGCGUGCAGGAUGACUGCCCUAUGGGUUGUAAACUGCUUUUUAAGGGAACAAUAAGCUGUACGUGUACAGUGAUGAGUGUACUUUAAGAAUCAGCACCGGCUAACUCCGUGCCAGCCGCCGCCGUAA
rnacentral:rRNA from 1 species